ACGACCGGCGCACGGGUGCGUAACGCGUAUGCAAUCUACCUUUUGCUACUGGAUAGCCCAGAGAAAUUUGGAUUAACACAGUAUAGUAUCAUAUUACUGCAUGGUAUUUAUGAUUAAAGGCUACGGCAGAAGAUGAGCAUGCGUCCUAUUAGCUAGUUGGUGUGGUAACGGCAUACCAAGGCAACGAUAGGUAGGGGCCCUGAGAGGGGGAUCCCCCACACUGGUACUGAGACACGGACCAGACUCCUACGGGAGGCAGCAGUGAGGAAUAUUGGACAAUGGAGGCAACUCUGAUCCAGCCAUGCCGCGUGCAGGAUGACUGCCCUAUGGGUUGUAAACUGCUUUUAUACAGGAAGAAACCGCUCUACGUGUAGAGCUCUGACGGUACUGUAAGAAUAAGGAUCGGCUAACUCCGUGCCAGCAGCCGCGGU
rnacentral:rRNA from 1 species